rnacentral:rRNA from 1 species
UUGGAGGGCAAGUCUGGUGCCAGCAGCCGCGGUAAUUCCAGCUCCAAUAGCGUAUAUUAAAGUUGUUGCAGUUAAAAAGCUCGUAGUUGAAUUUCGGGAUCAAUAUUUCGGUCAUGCCGUUGGUAUGCACUGUUAUCAUUGUUUCUCACCUUCUAAAGAACCGUAAUGCCAUUAAUUUGGUGUUACGGGGAAUUAGGACCGUUACCUUGAAAAAAUUAGAGUGUUUAAAGCAGGCUCACGCUUGAAUACAUUAGCAUGGAAUAAUGGAAUAGGACAUCCGAUUCUAUUUUGUUGGUUUCUAGGAUCGAUGUAAUGAUUAAUAGGGAUAGUUGGGGGCAUUAGUAUUCAAUUGUCAGAGGUGAAAUUCUUGGAUUUAUUGAAGACUAACUACUGCGAAAGCAUUUGCCAAGGAUGUUUUCAUUAAUCAAGAACGAAAGUUAGGGGAUCGAAGACGAUCAGAUACCGUCGUAGUCUUAACCAUAAACUAUGCCGACUAGGGAUCGGGUGAUGUUAAUUUUUUAAUGACUCAUUCGGCGCCUUACGGGAAAC